ensembl:lncRNA
UCUGGAGAAACUCCUUUCUGAUAUUGCUCCACUAUUUUUCCCGCAGCAUUGGGGGAAUUGGUGAUCCUCUGCCCAUCUUGACUUCUGAGAGACACUGCCACUCUAAGAGGCUCUUUUUAUACCCAAUCAUGUUGCCAGUUGACCUAAUAAGUUGCAAAUUGGUCCUCCAGCUGCUCCUUAUAUGUACAUUUAACUUUUCUGGCCUCUUAUUGCUACCUGUCCCAACUUUUUAAGAAUGUGUAGCUCUCAUGAAAUCCAAAAUGAGCCAAUAUUUGGCAUGACAUUUCAAAAUGUCUCACUUUCAACAUUUGAUAUGUUAUCUAUAUUCUAUUGUGAAUAAAAUAUAAGUUUAUGAGAUUUGUAAAUUAUUCCAUUCCUUUUUUACUCACAAUUUGUACAGUGUCCCAACAUUUUUGGAAUCGGGUUUGUACAAUAUGAUGAUAUUAGUUUGUAACACAGUACAGUGAAUAUUUGUAUGGCAUAACAAGAGGGCUAGGUUUCACUUUCAUUUCCACUUACAUGAUGUCACAGCUUUCAGACAGCCUUUCAGCUUCAAGACCAAGGAAUCAGUGAGGUAUGAGGAAAGUACAGUAUAGUAAAAUGUACUGUUCCUAAAAUAUUUGUAUGGCACACCCAAGGGCUAGGCUUGCCUUCAGUUUUCUCUUAAAUGCUGUCAUAGCCUUAACGCCUUAAACAGCCAGUUGGUAAGCUGCCAACCCAAUGGCUGGAAUGUUUAUUCAUUAUCUUCCAGUAAUAUACCUGCUUUUCCUGCAAGCUCGUUAUUUACUCAUAUAUAUUUUGUGUGACAGGGAAGCUUUUUAUUUGUGUCAGUCAAGGAUGGAGUUUAAGCACACGAAAAAGACAAGCUUUUCGGUCAGGAGGAAAACAAAAAAUGGGAAAGAAAAGAAACUUUCAAUGAAAAAAAUAGAGCAGACAGAUGUGAACCUUCCACCAGAGGAACAGGCAUCUGGAGUUCCUGAUCUCAUUGCUCUAGAUGCUGAAGCACUUAACAAGAGAGUGCUUCAUGCUCUCAAAACAAUUUUGAGUGAUGAAUCAACCUCUGAGGACUUUGAUGCUGCAGUUGAGGUGCUGAAAACAUUGAGCAAACUGAAUAACAACUAUUCUCAAGACUGGCUUUGUGAGUACCUUCAAGAAAUAAAUCAGUUUGUGGAGAACCACUUUCCCACGCUGCCAGCAGAGGGACCACGGGGAUCUCAGUUGGAGCCGAUACAGGACUUUCAGAGAACACAGAGCAUGAUAAAUGAUAAGGUGCUUCGAUUAACACCUGCACUGAAAGAUGCUGGGCUGCUAGAUCAUCUGAUGGACAGUUACAGCCGUCACCUCUUUACCAACCUGGACCUGCUGCUAAACAGAGAUCUGUCUGUGAAAGAGAUCUUCUGCCUUCUGCUGUGGGGAAAAGAUGUUUUCUUCAGUUCAGACUCACAGCAUUUCUUCAGAGUGCACGACCCUCUGCUGUUGACAAAUUGGUUUGAGAGAGCAACGAAGAAACUGCUGCCAAAACUAAAGAAUGACAUCUCCACGACUCUACAGAACAUCCUGGACUAUGAUGCGCAAAAUAGACCUAAUGGAGACUCAAUGGAUGAAGAAACGUUCAUCAGAGUUCACUUAGAUGUCACUAAAUGUCUGAAUGCUGUCAUACAGAGUUCUAAGGAAUUUAGUCACACGUUGAUGUGUGCGGCACAAACACUCUGUCUUAAAGAGCUUCAUCAUUUUGUUCAGGAGUAUGUGCAUGCAGAGAAAAAACGCCUGGAAAAACAACAACCCCUGAAGAAAAAUCCUGUGCAUCUGUUUCGGCUCAUCAGCACUUGUAGACAACUCAGAUUUUUUGCUCCUCAACUCAGCAAUCCAGAUAUAAAAAACAGUGACGACCUCUCAAAAAUGAUCUGCAUGUUAAAGAAGAUGGAGGAUCACGUUCUGUCUAUUGUACAGAAGAUGAUGAAAGACGUAGCACAGGUCUUUUUAAGACAUUAUUUCAAAGAAGAAGGUGAUCAAAUCCAAGCACUGACAGAGGCAAUCCAAAAGCAAUGUGCAUCUCUGCCUCAGACUGAUGUGGGAAAAGAGAAAAUUCAGGAGAUCUUUGUGAAUGUAUCCUAUGACUGCGUUUCACGCGUAUAUCUGGAUUGCCUGAUGAAGAGCAAGUUCAGAAGGCUAGAGAGGAGAUGGGGAAAUGUUGAAGAAAGGAUAAGCGAGGACGUUCUCAAUUUUCACAACACAUUCGCUGAACUGAAUGGCAGUGAUGCCCAGAGGAACCAUUUCCUUCAGAGACUCAGUGAAGUUUUGCUUCACAGUGAUGUAGAAGCACUGAAGAUUACCUGUUGUGCUUUGUUCAGAGAUUUCCCUCAGGAGAGUAAGCAGUAUGUACCUGGUCUGCUGCGCUGGAAGGGGGUUUUAUCAGAGCGACAGGUGAGGGAAGUGCUGGAUGUGACCCAGGACCUCGGCCUCAAUCUACAGCCUAGACGCGUCACCUGUCAGCCUCUGAAGGGACUUUUUUGUUUUCUUUGAUGUGAAUAACAACAUCAGCCAGAACUGUAAAAUCUUUGUUUAAGUUUAAUUCGAUGACAUGACUGUUUUGUGUUAUUCAUUUAUGAUAUUUAUGUUAUACUGGUACAUAGAUAUUUUCAUCAGAUAUUGUAAUAUUUGCUUUUCCCUGAUGACUUUUUGAUGUUACUUGAAAAUAGGAAAUAAUUUUUAUAUCAGACCACUGGAGAAAAAUGAAUUACCCUUUACUCUUUACCCUUUUAAUCUUUUAUAUGAUAAUUUAAUUUUCACAGAGUUACUCAUUUUGACUUCUACCUUUUACAUUGUUACAAAAGAGGAUUGUAACAACAUGUCCAGCUACUGUAUGAACCUAAAUUAUUGUUAUAUUAUUUAAAUGUUCAGUCAGGACCACUCUGUUUGAUUAAGAUUACUGUAGAGGUCCUGAACAUUAUUUUUGGCGACAGGCUUUACGCUCAAGGGUUCAGAGUCUGAGCUGUCCACAAGCAAACCUCACUGAGGUGUAAACCCCGAAGCCUAAUGCAAUUACCAGAUAUAAAAUUCCAUCCAGAAGUGAUACAAGUCUGUAAAUGAGUCUGGACAAGAUUAAACAAUUAGCUGAUGGAUGAUCUCAUGCGCCUGCAGGGUGAGCGACAGACCAAGGCAAGUGUGACUUUGAAAGAACUUAUAUAGAAUAUAUAUCUUAUUUAAUUGUAGUGGGAGGAGUUGCUGAUGCUGGCUGUCACGCCAUGGUCUUCUUGAACUUAUGCUUGAGCUCCAUUCGUCACUCAGACUACAUUUAUAUUUACAUACAAUUAUAUUUUUUUGUAAUUUCUUACAUUUUCAUUUGAAAAUAGGUACAGUAUCUUUUGUGUGAUGUGAUUUGUGUGAGCUCCAUUUUUGUGCACACAGAUCAUAAUCCCUUGGUGUUCUUGACCCACAUGUCUAACCCUAAUCAACGUUUAAUGUGUUGAAUAUUAUUUUGAUAUCCGGCACAAGAAAAUAAUUGACAAACAUCAUUGCCAAUGCCCUGUGCAGAUUUCAUUCCUUUGACAAUUAAAAAUGUGUUUUUUUUGUUUUUUUUGUGAUUCAUUAUAUUAUCUUAUAACCAGUGGGUGGCUUUGUGAAUCUUUUACCUCAUUUGUGUUGAACUUACUGAAGUAGUGUUUUUUUCCUUUGUUUAUCUGAUUGCACUCCAUGAUUGAGGGGAAUGGGAGAAGUGUUACCUUCUGAGUCUGUUUGAUUCAGCUGUUUUUGUUGUUGUUGUUGUUGUUGUUGUUGUUUUGCUUCACAAGUUUAAUGAUUAAAUUGUUUUUGUGGGGUUUGUAGGGAAGUGGGUGCAAUUUGUUUUGAAGUAGACCUUCCCCCUGUUAAUGUUAGUUGGGGAGUUAACUUAUUUUGCUGGAUUUUUGUUUUCUGCCUUUUUAGUUUAGUUAUAGUUGGUUCAUAAGGAGUGAGUUAUUUUUGUUGUUUUAGCAAUAUCCCAAAAUCUUUUACAAAAUAUAAAAAUUGUGAUUUGCAGUUUUGUUUCAUAAAGAAUUUCAGUAUGUACAAAAUGAUUGCAAAAGCAAAAUUCAUGUGAUCCUCACUAUGGAAAAGAAGCUCCUGCUAAACUGGAGUGAGUCCUGCUUUUCACUGAACUGAUUCUGGCUGCAAGUGAAACUCUUCAGGAUAUUUCUGUGGUCUGAUGGAAAAAGAUUUCCCUUGAGUCUCAGCCGAGCAGAAAUAUGAUGCUGACUGUAACAAGAAUACAGACAGGAGAAAAACACAGUGGUCUUAUUUUUCCCCUGAAUAAUCGCACAGCAGAAACCACCAAACUUAAGAUCAGGGUAAAGCAUCAUCAGACGUGCCAGCUCUAAUUUUGCACUCUUUAGAUCCUGUAGUUUCAGGAGACCUGCUAAUUUGAGAAUUUCUUUCAAACAGUCCAUAUUUGAUCCCUGUGAUAAUGAAAUUUCACUGUGUUUGAUUUAAACUUGUGUUAGUAUGGUAUACAAAAUUUUGGGAUUGGCUUGAAUCUGUGGAACUGUUGGACUAUUAAUGUCAAUGUCAAACUUUUUCAAAAAUAACCUACUGUAUUCUCCAACUGGCCACUGUAAUGUGGAUUAUGAAAAAAUAAACCUCAGAGAAUUUAUGGUAACUGUGUCUUG